GGGACUAGCUCGGGCUAUUUUAAUGGCCGUCCUUCACGGUGCCAUAUAUGCAAAAACUUGCAUCCUAUUUCUUGCAAAAUGCCCUGUAAUUUACACUUGUGAGCGGCUUAUCGUUGUUUCAAGCACAUGACAAGGCAUCCAUAGUUCUGACAAACAUGUCUCCUCCUUUUUCUUGGUCCCUAACCCUGAGAUCAGAACGAUGAAACAACCUUAGCUGACAUCUAUCUCCUUUUUUGGAUAUCGAAACUGGGAAACUGCCAUAUGCACAAAUAUCAUGAAAAAUGCAAAACUCGUGAGAGGUUGGAGAACCUCUAGGAUGACGUGGCUCUUUGCAUGGUUAGAUUGACGUGGCAAGUAUUGGAGGAUGGUGGCUAGAUUCGCUGAUGCACUCACACAACAAGCUCCCGGCCCUGAUGGGAUCGAGAUCCUUGGAUAGCCAAGUUAGAAAAAAGAAAAAAAAAGUACAAGAAAGAUAGUACUGUAGUUAUUGAAAGAGAUGACAUACCAGAGAAGAGGAUGUACAAGGAUUGAGAGAUGAGAGAUUGGGAAUACCCCUCCCUGCCUCAAGGCUAGCUCAUAUAGUCUCUGGAGCCCUGCUAAAUAGCUUGGAAAGGAGGGUAUAGAUGUAAAUCCCCUUGCCACUUGUGAUCUCAAAGCAUGAUGAACAGGAGAUGAAUAUCUAGAAUAUUCGAUGAGAUAUUGUUAAGCCUAGCUAGCUAGAGGGUGAUAUCGUGAACUUGGCAGAAGCAGUCCAGAGAACGGGUGUCUGCAUUCGAUGUAUGAAAGCUCUUGUAUGCCUACUCUCUCUCAGAAGGUAUUGUAUAGGAUCAAUAGGAGAGUACUAGUCCGUGCCUGAACGAAGGCAACGUGUUGUCUUUUUCUCAGACAAGUGUAAGUGGC
rnacentral:lncRNA from 1 species